rnacentral:tRNA from 1 species
AAAAAGAUAAGCUAAUUGAAGCUGUAGUGUUCAUACCUCUAUGAUGAAUUUUUUCUCUUUUUG